GAGACUCUGUGCGCGUGCAUAUCAAUAAGCGGAGGAAAAGAAACUAACAAGGAUUCCCUUAGUAACGGCGAGUGAAGCGGGAAGAGCUCAAAUUUGAAAUCUUCAAGGUUCUACCUUGACGAAUUGUAGUUUAUAGAAGUGUUUUCUGUUAGUAGAGUGGCAAAAGUUCUUUGGAAUAGGACAUCAUAGAGGAUGAGAAUCCCGUAUUUGGUCAUUCUUUCUAGCUUUGUGAUACACUUUCAACGAGUCGGAUUGUUUGGGAAUGCAGUCCAAAAUGGGUGGUAAAUUUCAUCUAAAGCUAAAUAUUGGCGAGAGACCGAUAGCGAACAAGUACCGUGAGGGAAAGAUGAAAAGAACUUUGAAAAGAGAGUUAAACAGUACGUGAAAUUGUCAAAAGGGAAGCGUUUGACACCAGUGUUGUUUUUCCGAAAAUCAAUUACGAAUGUUUUAGUUUUUAAGAAGUUAUGACUUCAUCGGCUUGCUUCUCUCUUUAUGAAACUUUCUUAAUGCACUUUUCGGUUAACAAGUCAACAUCAAUUUCUUUUGUUGUAAAAGGGUAUGAGGAAGGUGGCUUUCUUUUCGGAGAAAGUGUUUAUAGCCUUGUACCUCUGCAAUCGGAGAGAUUGAGGUCUGCAGCGUAGAUCCUUCGGGGUUAGAUACAUUUGUGUUAAGUUAUAGCUUUUCAUAGACAACUUGUUGACUAUGUUUAGUCUUGUAGCUUACUCGCUGAUGCUAUUUUACCUACGCUUAGGAUGUUGAACUCUAUCACACACAG
rnacentral:rRNA from 1 species